AUUGAACGCCGGCGGCAGGCCUAACACAUGCAGGUCGAGCGGAUGAAGGGAGCUUGCUCCUGGAUUCAGCGGCGGACGGGUGAGUAAUGCCUAGGAAUCUGCCUGGUAGUGGGGGAUAACGUCCGGAAACGGGCGCUAAUACCGCAUACGUCCUGAGGGAGAAAGUGGGGGAUCUUCGGACCUCACGCUAUCAGAUGAGCCUAGGUCGGAUUAGCUAGUUGGUGGGGUAAAGGCCUACCAAGGCGACGAUCCGUAACUGGUCUGAGAGGAUGAUCAGUCACACUGGAACUGAGACACGGUCCAGACUCCUACGGGAGGCAGCAGUGGGGAAUAUUGGACAAUGGGCGAAAGCCUGAUCCAGCCAUGCCGCGUGUGUGAAGAAGGUCUUCGGAUUGUAAAGCACUUUAAGUUGGGAGGAAGGGCAGUAAGUUAAUACCUUGCUGUUUUGACGUUACCAACAGAAUAAGCACCGGCUAACUUCGUG
rnacentral:rRNA from 1 species